GUAAGGUGAUGAAGGUAUAGAAUGAAAAAAAGCGUCUAAAGAAAGUAAAGUAAGAGGUGAUGAGGAUUGAAGAAAUAAGUCUCUUCUUUUUUUGCUGGUCUGGUACCAGUUUGUUCACUGAUAAGAAACCAAUGAGCCGAAGGUUGUUGAUUCAACUCUUCUUCGCUUGUGCUUAGGCCUUAGCUUUUAGUGGUCAAUAUAUGAUUAUAAAAGGUUCAAGGAGGAGAAGAAGAAAAAAAGCUAAAGAAAGGAGGGAAAAAAUAAAAGAAAAAGCGAGCUAAAUGGAAAAGAGAUUGAUAAAAGGUAUAAAGAGAUGAUAAAGUUAACAAAAAUGUUUUCAGCAAAUGUUUUGUGCUUCAUGGUCAAGCGAAUUGGAAAAACAAGAUCAACACGAGAAGAAGGAAAACAAGGUAAAAGGUUAUUAUGGACGACAAUGAAAUAAGAUGUUAUAAGUUGGCGCAUUGGAGGACAAAAAACGCAAAAAUAGUCAAGUAUAGUGACAGUGUCAUGUGGAUAAAUAGAUGAGCUGAUAGAUGAGGAGAUGAAGGAGAAGAAAAGCUUAAAAUGAUUUCUCGAGUGGGAUAAAUUUAAAAGCAGCCAAAGAUAAGGAAUAUGUUGAGAGCGACGAGAGAAACGAAAAUUGUUUUUCUUUGGGAAAGAAAUUUUACUUUCUCUAGACAAUCAUCAACUCAUAUGGUGGGCCUUUUCCCGAUGGUCAGUCAAAAAGGAGGUUUCAAUUUUACCAUCAAUUAACCCUCAAUAAUAUCCAAAUUGAUACCCAGAGAGUGACAGAGUAGAAGAAACAAUUGAUCAUCUGGCAAACAUCAUCAAUUGGUUGAUUGGAUUAAAUCAAUCUUCAUUAAUUUGAUUUCAACAGUAACAAAUAUUAGUGAAUUAAUAUUUAAACUACAAGCCAGAUAAUGAGUUUGGCUGCCAACCAAAGAUGCAUUUUGCCUUUCAAGAGGAACUGUUGACGUCUUGAUGAUUCUUCCUCUUCCUUGGGCCAACAAAUUGUCUUUCAAAUUACAAUCAAAUUGAUUGUUCAAAUUAACCUUGAAUUGAAAAAUCAAGUUGAAACAAUAAAACCAACAAAAGUUGCGCCAAACAACAACAACAACAACAGCAAACAUUAACAAUGUCAUCUUUGUUGUUACGAUUACCCUUAAGGUUGAUGUUUGAUGCUUAUUUAAUGCUUUUUUGUUUCUCUUGUUUUUUUGUUGUGUACAGGUUACAAUGUUUAAAGAGAGGAUAUAAUACCAAAGGAUGAUGGUGAUGAUGAUAACGAUAAUGAUGAUCAAGAUGGAAACGCUGAUGAUGAGGGUACAAAUGAAGAGUAUCACAUUUUUGAUCCUAUUAAGAUUAAGAGGAAUCAAUCUCGAGAGAAUCAUUCUAUAUCCAAAGGGAAAAAAAAGAGGAAGAAGAAGAUGACGAUGGCAAAAGAAAGGAAAGACAAGAAAAGAAAGAAACAAGAUAGACUGGUACAUGCAAUAAUCUUUUCUUCAACGCCGAAGUUUUCCAUUUUUCUCAAGAAAUAUCCAAAGAAAAAAAGAAAAGGAGAGAAAGAAGAAGAAGAAGAAAAAAAAGAGGAAAAUAACAUCUCAAUAACACAUUGAAACGACACAUAAAUACACAGAGAAAAGUUUACUCUUUCAUUUCAUUAUUGACCACCUUUUGUUAUUAUAAUCACAAAUUACGGAAUUGCCGUAAGCACUAAUCUGAUUGCAGACAUGGACAUUAUGGACAUUACAUCACCCUAACUGGUCACCCAGAAAGCAAGAAAUAAACACACAUCAAAUGGACCUUUCAACCCACCUUGACUUAGCCCAUUAUGAUUUUACAAGAAAGACUAUUUUUCAUUUAGUUAUUAUAUUUUUUUGCAUUAAGUAUUCACUUGGCAAAAGUAGACAACAUGGUAACUCUCAUCUGGGCACAAAAGGAAUUAACCUUAAUCUUAGGCUUUUAACUUAUCAACAGAACAUUUAGAUAACUCAAUUUAGCUUCAGGAUGGUUCCAUUUCAUGUGUAACUUUGACAGUUUUUCUGCUAAAUCAAAUUUGUUUAAUAUAUCAUCAUCACUAUCAUCGUCAUACUCUUUUAUCCUCAUCUCGGCGUUUCGCUCCAAUCCUCAUCAUAUUAUCAUCAUCACUAUCAUCAUUCCACUCUCUCUCCUACUAUCUUUCCGAAUCUGUCAAAAGACUGUCAAAUGUCAAAAUCAUGUAAUUUCAAGUUUCUGUAAAUGUUGAGGUUUUCCUCUGUUAUUGUCAAUGAUUUCAAUGUUUACUUUUUAUUUCUCAUGUACUUAUACACACACACAGUAUAUAAGAUAUGUAAUAUCAAAUGUCAUUCCUUGUUGUUAAGCAGAUUAUCAUGACUGAUUAACUCAUAAUUAAGCUUGAGGGUAAUUUUUUGCUUUCUAAUAAGAAAACCAAAAAUAAUAAUAAUCAUAACGUUGAUGAUAAUGAUAAUAAUAAUGUUGAUGUGGUUUGAUGUGCAUCAAUGUUGUUGUAUAAGAUUAGUGGAAAAAUAAAACUGUUUGUAAGCAAGAAGCAACUUAAGAUCAAUUGAUUGUCAGUUAACAGUCGGUGGCAAUUGCAUAUUGAAUGAACUGAAAAUGCAUCAAAUUAGCAAAUAAUCAAUUGAGAACACACCUUAACUUAUCAUCAUCAUUAUCAUGAAAAGAAAUCAACCCUUAAACCGAAAAAUUUCUUUCAACUUUCGUCUCCAUCUUUAAAUUAUCCAACUAAUCAGUUCUUUUCUUUCCUUCUCUCAUCCGUCUCUAGGAUUUUCAUCUUUAAAUUUACAAAUUCACUUGCAAUGUGCAAUCAGUUGAUGGUUAAUUUGUGGUGGUGCAAGAAAAGCCAAGUAAUAGCAAAAAUUCAUUGCAUUUGACUGUUUUGGUGAGCAAGGAAAAGCAAAGGGAAAGUUUACUUCAGAGGAAAGGCUUUUCACAACUGGCAAGAUUGAAAUCUUUUCAACCACAGUUAUCAUGAAACAAUCCAACUGGAAAUUAUUUCAACUCUGUCAAAACCAAGUUAACCAUAUUUUAUCAUUAUUUCAAGUUAGACUUUUUUAUUUCACUUUAAAUGAAAUGAGGAGAAAGACUUGAAACAAGAUGGAAACUGUUUUUUACUCUCAUCUCUUGAUCUUAAUUUAACCAAAAUUUGAAACCAUUAAGCUUAAACGAUUUCACAUUUUGCACUCUUUUUGGAGCAACAUUUGGAUCAUCAUUCAACAAUUAAUUACAAUAAUGACGGAUGACAUAACGAGUGACUCUUAUUUUGAUUUAAAUUAAGAGCAAUUGAUUAAUAUCAAAAUCAGUCAAAUGUGGAAACUCUUUUUUUAUUCCUAUUCUGCUUCUUGAUUUAACAAGCAUUCAUAAUAACUCACCAUGUUGAUCUGUAGGGAAGAGACGACCCAAAAUUAGGUUAGACUCACAAAGUUUAACAUUCAUUAUUGAUUAACAUUGAAUAAAAGAUGAGAAGAUAAAUGGCUUUUAGAUGGCAAUCAUGAAGAUGAGGGUGAUGAUCAGCAUUCUGUCAUUCAUUGAAUCCAGAUAAUUGAUAAACAAGUUAAUUGAAGCCAAUAGAGUUGAAUUAAAAAAGGUAAAUAAUUGAUGAUUAAUUUAUCAUUCCAAUAGCUAAAUGGUUUUUGCAUAAUGCCGUUACAAUCGACUGAACAAUGGAACCAAAUAUCU